AACGAACGCUGGCGGCAUGCCUAACACAUGCAAGUCGAACGAGACCUUCGGGUCUAGUGGCGCACGGGUGCGUAACGCGUGGGAACCUGCCCUUAGGUUCGGAAUAACUCCCCGAAAGGGGUGCUAAUACCGGAUAAUGUCUUCGGACCAAAGAUUUAUCGCCUUUGGAUGGGCCCGCGUUGGCUUAGCUAGUUGGUAGGGUAAAAGCCUACCAAGGCGACGAUCCAUAGCUGGUCUGAGAGGAUGAUCAGCCACACUGGGACUGAGACACGGCCCAGACUCCUACGGGAGGCAGCAGUGUGGAAUAUUGGACGAUGAGCGAAAGCCUGAUCCAGCAAUGCCGCGUGAGUGAUGAAGGCCUUAGGGUUGUAAAGCUCUUUUACCCGGGAUGAUAAUGACAGUACCGGGAGAAUAAGCUCCGGCUAACUCCGUG
rnacentral:rRNA from 1 species